UCGCCUUCACUGACGUCAAGCAUAACCCUGCACAGACCUUCUCUCCUUUUUUCCAAGGUGUUUUCCUCGUAUUUGUUUUUUUUGUUUGCGUUUCACUUCUCCUUGGUCGUGCGUGUGUGUGCGCGCGCUUCUCUUUCAAAGAGAACUCUGUGCGGCGGUGUAGACGUUUGCGUCCACGACGGGCUCUCCGUCGCUUCGGUUUCGCGCCCGAAGCGACCUCCUCCGGUGUCCUCGCAGAAUUCUUUGUUUGAUAACGACGCCGCGCGCGUGCGCUGGUGGCCGCGCCCUUUCACAGUUCGCGUGGACAGUUGAGAAAAAAAAAAGAGGAGCACCCACGCAAGCCCACAUCGCCCACCCUCACCAAAGUAGAAGAGCAAACCGCGAGAAGCAGCAGCAGAGAAAGCACGCACAGGACACACAGGCACGCACGCAAGCGUGUACGCAGUCGCCCCACGUGCGUGUUCUUUAUACUUUUAACGGUUUCCUUUUCGGCCCUCCGUGUCUUUUUGUUUGUGCUCUCCUCACUCCUUCCCCCUCUUGGUCAACGCAUCUUCUCUUUUUUGUUUUUGUUCAUUGUCGCCUCUGACGCUGACCUCGUCUCGUCAUCGCCGUCAUCAUCAUAG
rnacentral:misc_RNA from 1 species